CACGUAGGCUGUAGUGUAAGUCAGGGGUGAAAUCCCACGGCUCAACCGUGGAACUGCCUUUGAUACUGCACAACUUGAAUCCGGGAGAGGGUGGCGGAAUUCCAGGUGUAGGAGUGAAAUCCGUAGAUAUCUGGAGGAACAUCAGUGGCGAAGGCGGCCACCUGGACCGGUAUUGACGCUGAGGUGCGAAAGCGUUGGGAGCAAACA
rnacentral:rRNA from 1 species